UGGGGAAUAUUGCACAAUGGACGCAAGUCUGAUGCAGCGACGCCGCGUGAGGGAUGACGGCCUUCGGGUUGUAAACCUCUUUCGCCAAGGACGAAGCGAAAGUGACGGUACUUGGAGAAGAAGCGCCGGCCAACUACGUGCCAGCAGCCGCGGUAAGACGUAGGGCGCGAGCGUUGUCCGGAUUUAUUGGGCGUAAAGAGCUCGUAGGCGGCUCAUUGCGUCAACCGUGAAAUCCUGCUGCUCAACGGCAGGUCUGCGGUUGAUACGGGUGGGCUGGAGUUCGGUAGGGGAGACUGGAAUUCCUGGUGUAGCGGUGAAAUGCGCAGAUAUCAGGAGGAACACCGGUGGCGAAGGCGGGUCUCUGGGCCGAUACUGACGCUGAGGAGCGAAAGCGUGGGGAGCGAACAGG
rnacentral:rRNA from 1 species